rnacentral:lncRNA from 1 species
GUUUAAAAUGGGCAAUUGCUAGAUAGUAUACUUCAAAAUAAGGUUUCCGUUUUUAUAUCAAUUUUUAAAAUAAGUUAGGGUUAGGUUAGGGUUUAGGUUAGGUUAAGGUUAGGGUGAGGGAUAGUAUUAGGGUUAGGGUUUAGUUUCGAGUUAGGAUAGUUUUUUCUACGUUAUAAAAACGGAAACCUUAUUUUGAAGUAUACUAUCUAGCGAUCACC